GUAAGUGUGCCUCGGGUGAGCAUG
rnacentral:miRNA from 1 species